ensembl:snRNA
GUGUUGUGUGAAAGGAGAGAAGGUUAGCACUCCCCUUGACAAGAACAGAAGAAGCCCAUGGGCCUGACAACAUGCAUAUGGUUAAAUUAGACUUUAUAGUUAUUAUAUUUU